UCCCCGCAUACCCAAAUGCUCAGGAAGAUUGAUUUGAGUAAUAAUAAAACUCUGGUCUCCUGCACAGCCGGCUCUGUGUGAAUUACACUUUCUCUAUUGCAAUUCCCCUGUCUUUAGAAAUCGGCUCUGUCUAGGCAGUGGCCAAAGCGAAACCAUUGGGUGGUUACAGUGUCUUUUCCAACACAUUGUUCCAACACCCAUUCACCAAUUACCUCUCACCAAGUGGGUGUUCUUCAAUUCCAUUCAACUCUGAUGCUAACUACUCAGAGUUAGUGCAAACCCCACAGGUUAAAGUCAUGGUCCCACAAGACUGCCCUCACUUCAGAUGCUAGGUAGAAGUCUUGUGUUUCCAGGCUACUCACAGUUCUAUCCUAUUUGGCUGCAAAUUUGGGGUUUCCCAUGACCCUCCCUCAUGUUUGAUAAUUUGUUAGAACAAAUUGCAGAACUCAGGGAAGCACCUUGCUUAUGAUUACUGUUUUAUUAUAAAGGAUGCAAUUCAGGAACAGCCAUAUGUAAGAGAUGCAUAGGGCAAGGCUGUGGGUGAAUGGAAGUGGAGGACUUCUGAAACUGUCCUUGUACCAUCACCCAACGGGUGCUUCCAGCUUGCUGCACAGACAAAACAAUUCACUGAGACCAUGGUAUUGCAGUAAAGAAAGAGCUUAAUUAACCCAAGACAGCCAAGCAGAAGGACUGAUGUUAUCAUUCAAAUCACUCUCUCCAAGAACUCAGGCUAGGGUUUUUAUGGAUAGUUUGGCAGGCGGGGGGCUAAGGAAUGGGUGCUGCUGAUUGGUUGGGGAUAAAAGCAUAAGAGUGUGGAAAACAGUCCCCGUGUGCUGAGUCUGCCUCUGGGUGGGCCUACAGGACCAGUUGAGUCAUAAGUCACUAGUCCAGUUGGAAUUAAUCAGUUGCCUGAAUACAAAAGUUUGAAAAACAUCUCAAAACACCAAUCUUAGGUUCCACAACAGGAAUAUUUCCUACAGGAACAAUUGGGGAAGUCACAAGACUUGUGACCUCUGGCCACAUGACUCCUGAGCAGUAAGAGAUUAAAGAAAUUAUGCCUACAUUUUAGCAGAAUUCAGGCCCCUUCCAUUACAAAGGCAGUUUCAGUCCCUGAGCAAAGAAGGGGAUCAGUUUCAGGGAGGGACUCUUCUCAUUCUUGCUUUAAACUAUGAGCUAUAUUCCUCCCACAGUUACCUUGCCCUAGGCUGUGAGACUAGAAGCAAGGUGGAGUGAGCCAGGUUAGAUUUCUCUCAUUGUCAUAACCUUUGCAAAGGUGGUUUCAAUCACAGAGUUGACAAGAAUUACAUGCCAGGUUCUGGACAGAAAUACAGUUAUAAUUAAGCAUGAGUCAGGCUGCAUUUUGGCCUACUUACUUGUAACUGAAAGUCACAUAGCACUGGAUACUGACCAUUUGCAUCCCCAUUGUUUCUAUAGGUGGGAUUUUGGAUGUUAGAAUCAUGAGGCUUUUGUUUAAGAGUUGCUUAAGAUGUUCUUCAGAUCCUGAAUUCCAGCAGAACAGCUGACAUCCACAACCAGUUUGAGGAUCCCCACAGAAGAGCUGAAUCAACAUGAGAAUGCAGUUUCUUCAUCUCUCCAGUCCAUGAUUUCUCCCUGCAAUCCCCACACCUCUGCCCACUCCAAACCCCUUACAAACUCCUCAGGGAGGGUAGUUCCCCAGAGGAAAAGUGGGACACUGUUACCAGAAGGAAAGCAAAUGGACACUGUCUAAAUAAUGAUAACAGAUAUUCAUUACACUUCCUGGUAAAAGAAAAUAAAGGGACACUAACAUGAGGGUUAGUCCCCUCCAGAGGAUGCAGCAACAAGGUGCCUUCUUGGAAGCAGAGAGCAGCCCUCACCAGACAUGAAACCUGCUGACACCUUGG